rnacentral:rRNA from 1 species
GUAAAGGCCUACCAAGACUAUGAUGUGUAGCUGGACUGAGAGGUUGAACAGCCACAUUGGGACUGAGACACGGCCCAAACUCCUACGGGAGGCAGCAGUAGGGAAUUUUCGGCAAUGGAGGAAACUCUGACCGAGCAACGCCGCGUGAACGAUGAAGUAUUUCGGUAUGUAAAGUUCUUUUAUUGAAGAAGAAAAAAUAGUGGAAAAACUAUCUUGACGAUAUUCAAUGAAUAAGCCCCGGCAAACUAUGUGCCAGCAGCCGCGGUAAUACAUAGGGGGCGAGCGUUAUCCGGAAUUAUUGGGCGUAAAGGGUGCGUAGGCGGUUUAAUAAGUCUAUAGUUUAAUUUCAGUGCUUAACACUGUCCUGCUAUAGAAACUAUUAGACUAGAGUGAGAUAGAGGCAAGUGGAAUUCCAUGUGUAGCGGUAAAAUGCGUAAAUAUAUGGAGGAACACCAGAGGCGUAGGCGGCUUGCUGGGUCUUUACUGACGCUGAGGCACGAAAGCGUGGGGAGCAAACAGGAUUAGAUACCCUGGUAGUCCACGCCGUAAACGAUGAGUACUAAGUGUCGGGAUUACUCGGUACUGAAGUUAACACAUUAAGUACUCCGCCUGAGUAGUACGUACGCAAGUAUGAAACUUAAAGGAAUUGACGGGACUCCGCACAAGCGGUGGAUCAUGUUGUUUAAUUCGAAGAUACACGAAAAACCUUACCAGGUCUUGACAUACUCUGCAAAGCUAUAGCAAUAUAGUGGAGGUUAUCAGGGAUACAGGUGGUGCAUGGUUGUCGUCAGCUCGUGUCGUGAGAUGUUAGGUUAAGUCCUAAAACGAGCGCAACCCUUGUCAUUAGUUGCCAGCAUGUCAUGAUGGGCACUUUAAUGAGACUGCCAAUGAAAAAUUGGAGGAAGGUGAGGAUCACGUCAAAUCAUCAUGCCCCUUAUGAUCUGGGCUACAAACGUGAUACAAUGGCUGUUACAAAGAGUAGCUGAAACGCAAGUUUAUAGCCAAUCUCAUAAAAGCAGUCUCAGUUCGGAUUGAAGUCUGCAACUCGACUUCAUGAAGUUGGAAUCGCUAGUAAUCGCGAAUCAGCAUGUCGCGGUGAAUACGUUCUCGGGGUUUGUACACACCGCCCGUCA